rfam:Silicibacter lacuscaerulensis ITI-1157 genomic scaffold scf_1113211289287, whole genome shotgun sequence.
AACGCUCAUCAUCUUCAUACCUCCCUGUUGGACUACGGCCGAGCUUAGUGCUCGGCCUUUUUU